UAUUGUUAUGCGUUUUACUUUACUACAUUGGUUAGAGGUAUAGGGGGAGGGUUGAGAUCUCACAAACAUGUUUAACCCCGCCGCAUUUUGGCGCCUGUCCCAAGUCAGGAGCCUCUGGCCUUUGUUAGUCUUGUAUUAUUUUAAUUUUAGUUUCUUGUGUACAAUUUGGAAAUUAGUAUGGCGUUCAUUAUCACUGGACUAGUAUAUAUUUGUUUAGGGGCCAGCUGAAGGACGCCUCCGGGUGCGGGAAUUUCUCGCUACAUUGAAGACCUGUUGGUGAC
rnacentral:lncRNA from 1 species